GGUAAAGGAUAGGUUCAUGGGAUAUCAGCUAGUUGGUGUGGUAAGAGCGCACCAAGGCUAAGACGUCUAGGCGGAUUGAGAGAUUGACCGCCAACAUUGGGACUGAGACACUGCCCAAACUCCUACGGGAGGCUGCAGUCGAGAAUCUUUCGCAAUGGGCGAAAGCCUGACGAAGCGACGCUGCGUGAGUGAUGAAGGCUUUCGGGUUGUAAAACUCUUUCGCGCAAGAGCAAAGUGAGUUAGUGAACAACUGAUUCAUGUGAGAGUACUGCGUAAAGAAGCACCGGCUAACUCCGUGCCAGCAGCUGCGGUAAUACGGAGGGUGCAAGCAUUAAUCGGAAUUAUUGGGCGUAAAGGGCGCGUAGGCGGGAUUAAAAGUCAGAUGUGAAAUUCCGAAGCUCAACUUCGGAGCCGCAUUUGAAACUGCAAUUCUUGAGGGAUGGCGGAGGAAACGGAAUUCCACGUGUAGCGGUGAAAUGCGUAGAUAUGUGGAGGAACACCUGUGGCGAAAGCGGUUUUCUAGCUUUUACCUGACGCUGAGGCGCGAGAGCAAGGGGAGCAAACAGGAUUAGAUACCCUGGUAGUCCUUGCCGUAAACGAUGUAUACUUGAUGUAGUUAGGCUCAACCCUGGCUGUGUCGAAGCUAACGCGAUAAGUAUACCGCCUGAGGAGUACGCUCGCAAGGGUGAAACUCAAAAGAAUUGACGGGGGCCCGCACAAGCAGUGGAGCAUGUGGUUUAAUUCGAUGCAACGCGAAGAACCUUACCCAGGCUCGAAAUGCAGUGGACAGCAUCAGAGAUGAUGUGUUUCGAAAGAACCGCUGUAUAGGUGCUGCAUGGCUGUCGUCAGCUCGUGCCGUGAGGUGUUGGGUUAAGUCCCGCAACGAGCGCAACCCUUAUCAUUAGUUGCCAACACGUAAAGGUGGGGACUCUAAUGAGACUGCCUAGGUUAACUAGGAGGAAGGUGAGGAUGACGUCAAGUCCGCAUGGCCUUUAUGUCUGGGGCUACACACGUGCUACAAUGGUCGGUACAGAAGGCAGCAAG
rnacentral:rRNA from 1 species